ACACAUUUGAGGGCACAUAGCAGAAGCAAUCAUGGUGCAGCCAUGUCAGAUUCCAACAAAUCUGCAAAUUCUACU
rnacentral:ribozyme from 1 species